rnacentral:misc_RNA from 1 species
GAUGAAGAACGUAGCGAAAUGCGAUAAGUAAUGUGAAUUGCAGAAUUCAGUGAAUCAUCGAAUCUUUGAACGCACCUUGCACCCUUUGGUAUUCCGAAGGGUAUGCUCGUUUGAGUGUCAUUGUACUCUCACACUUCUAAUUCCUUUCGGGAUUGGGAGCGGUGGACUUGGGUGUUGCUGCUUUAGUUGUGGCUCACCUCAAAUAAGUUAGUGCAACUCUUGGUUGGACAUAGUACGGCGUGAUAAGUGUCUUCGCCGGCGCCUCUGUAAGGAGGGUGGCCGAUCGGGAGCUCUGUGCUUCAAACCGUCUUUGGACAAUCUUUGACAACUUGACCUCAAAUCGAGUAGGACUACCCGCUGAACUUAAGCAUAUCAAUAAGCGGAGGA